CCUACGCGGUGCUGCAGUGAGGAAUAUUGGUCAAUGGACGAGAGUCUGAACCAGCCAAGUAGCGUGAAGGAUGACUUCCCUAUGGGUUGUAAACUUCUUUUAUAAAGGAAUCAAACGAGUCACGUGUGCCUUUUUGCAUGUACUUUAUGAAUAAGGAUCGGCUAACUCCGUGCCAUCAGCCGCGGUAAUACGGAGGAUCCGAGCGUUAUCCGUCUUUAUUGGGUUUAAAGGGAGCGUAGAUGGGUUGUUAAGUCAGUUGUGAAAGUUUGCGGCUCAACCGUAAAAUUGCAAUUGAUACUGGCAGUCUUGAGUACAGUUGAGGUAGGCGGAAUGCGUGGUGUAGCGGUGAAAUGCUUAGAUAUCACGAAGAACCCCGAUUGCGAAGGCAGCUUACUAAACUGUGACUGACAUUGAUGCUCGAAAGUGUGGGUAUCAAACAGGAUUAGAUACCCUAGUAGUC
rnacentral:rRNA from 1 species